GUCGAAGCUCGCGGUUGUCAUGGAUGCUAGUUCCGAACCUGAAGCUAUUCCCGGGUCCGUUUACAGGAUUUCAGGCAUGUUUCAGGCAUUGUGAGCAAGAUCGGAGAUCGCAAGAUGCAAUGCGGUGUGACUGUUACUAACCGCUCUCUGUGAAAACGGGUAAGUCCGUCCGAAGCGGCAGGCAAUGGAUGGUUUACAGGAUUUCAGCCAUUUUUCAGGCAUUGUGAGCGCUGAUACGGAAAUCACAAGAUGCAAUGCGGUGUGACUGUUACUAACCGCUCUCUGUGCAAACGGUUAAGUUCGUACGAAGCCGCAGGCAAUGGAUGGAGUCCUCGCGAGCUGGUAAUGAAACUCGUUCUUCCCGACGUUGGAUCAAAAAGGCAAA